GUUAGCCUGCUAACGUCUUCAUAGCUAGUAGCAUGUAAUCAGGACGUGACCAAACUGUUGCUGAGAUGAUGGAUGUUGAAACUUCCAAGGAGAAAAUAGGCAUUGUUGAAACUCACUCAUAUGCUUGCAGUGUAAAAAAGGUGGGUGAAUGCGAUUCAUACCCGAAUACCCCAACCAAGGAGCAACUUCUGUGGGGUUUUUAUAAGGUUUUUUGACAUGCUUAACUAACUAUAAGCUAGUAGGGCUUCUUAUGCAUUAAAGUUUGAAUUGCUGACUCUUGUGAACCUGCAUUUUCCAUUAGUCUCUACUCUUACCAGUGCUCUGUCUAACCAUGAAUAUCAGCCUAAAAUGUGUGUGUGUUAGAGAGAGGGCUGUGCUGUAUGAAAUAUGUGUGUGUAUGCAACAAAUGUAUCAGUAGUGUGGGCGCUGUACUGUGUGGCCGAGACUGCUAAUCUUAGAGAGACACAGGAGGGGGGUGAAUCAGGAGACUGCUGAAUAGACAAUAACAGAUAAACUAUACACACGAAAAACAUAUGUGAGGUUCUGAGUCAUGCACUAUAACCCAAUACUAUAACAAACGUGAUUAGCAACUAUAUUAUAUGUGAUUGAAUACUAUAACAAAUGUGAUUUGAUAUUGACAAACUGUUUGGGCGCCUGGAUGUCUGUGUGUGUGUGCUGGAAGUAACAGUUAGCUCAGAUAAGAAGCUGGGAAGCUGUAGUUAGCCUUGAGCGAGAACAGUGGACAAUGUAUACAGGUGCAGAUAUCUCAGACAAUGUUAUAAAACUGUCUGACCCCAGUCUCUGGGGUGAAGGAGCGUAAUCUACACAGCAACAAUGAAGGGACACCAGAAAGCGCAAAGAAGCUGGGACCAGUUUAUGUGCCAACAUCAACGAUAGGCUGGGUGAGUCUAAACCACGCCCAGUCUCUACUCUGACAGGCCGGCUCGGAAGUGGGAACUAACCUCUGUCAGAGUAUAAUAUAAUAUCUUUGUCAGAAACAAAUCAGUUCUCUGUCUUAUCCUGCGUGAUGAAACAUUGAACCCGUAUAUACGGGAAUUGUAUUUGCCAUUUAUUAACUUUUGAAUUAAACAAUUAUUUUAACCAAGUUCAGGUGUGCUAUUGUUCCUAUCUCAGUUGAACAUUCGCAACCCUAACACUUCCAAAGAAGCUGAGAAGUGAACCAUCAAUGAGCCAGCUACAGGACAAAGAAAGCGCAGAUGAGAGCGCAAAUCAAAGAGAGCGCAGAUGACAUCAUGGAUUUGGUGUAAAAGAACACUAUCAGUAUCGUUAACCUGAAGAAAUCGAUUGAUUUCAGUGCUGAGGAAGUAAAAACUCUGAAGCAGCAGAACGCAACAUUGAAUAUUCAGGUUGCAAAGUAGGAAAAGAAACUCACUGAAAUGGAGUCAAGGGUAAACGAGAAUGACCGGUAUAGCCGGAGAUGGAGUCUUCGAAUUUAUGGAGUAGCAGAAAAAUGUGACGAGAACAUCAAAGCAAGAGUGAAGGACAUUUGCAGGGCAAUAGUCCCGGAGGAGGAGUGAAAUGUUGUUGCAGGUUCUCUGGAUGUAGUGCACCGCCCGGGUAGGCUGAGAGAUGGGGAAAACAUGGGAAAUGGGAAAAAUAAAUACUGGAAUUGUGCCUGUGUUAUGAAUAUGUUUGGAAGUUACUGGGAGCUAAUGAAAUUUGAUAGAAGGCUUUUUGCUAUUUCAAUAGGGAAAGAAAUUGCUCGUGCCAAGAGAGAGGAAGAAUAUGACAUCAUAAAGGGAAUAAUGGAUUAUACUAAAAAAAAGUGAACUAAAUAAUCAGGAAUUACUGGAGCUAUCAUCAUUGCAAAUGCAGUUAGACUGUAUCUACGAGGGAAAGGCGACAUAUGUAGCAAACAUUGCUGAGAAGAUAGAUAAUGAUUUCAGGGAUUUUUGUGAUGACGAGUUAUCAUAAAUUGAGAUAAAAGACUGUAUUAAAAGCCUUAAGGACAAUAGGUCCCCUGGAAAUGAUGGUUUAAUAAGCAAGUUUUAUAAAGCAUUCAAUGAUAAAUUGAUUCCUUUCAAUCUUGCUAUGUUUCAAGAAUCAAUAGAAAAAGGGGAGUUACCGGCUUCCUUAAAGCAAGGUGUAAUUACUUUGAUUCCCAAACCUAAUAAGGAUACUGUCACGCCCUGACCUUAGUUAUCUAUGUUUUCUGUAUUAUUUUGGUCAGGUCAGGGUGUGACGAGGGUGGGUAUGCUUGUUUGUCCUGUCUAGGGUUUUUGUAUGUCUAGGGUGAAUUAAAUAUCACCAGCUGCCUAACUUCAUAUUAGCUCUCUAUCUUGAUGUAUUUAUCACUGUAAAAAACAAAAUUCAAAUGCAUUUGUAGGUAGCUAGCUAACAGCCACGGAAGGUGAAAGGAUAGCAGCACCAACUGUCAGUGAGAGAGGAGGCUAUUCUGGAUAGGGCAGGUACUUUUGUGUAGAUCCUGUCCCUAGAAGUGAGGACGGAGAUAAUAGUAACAUAAUAUUCAGUGUGGUGUAAGUUGACUAUAAUGAAGUCUGUUUCUUGUGAGGUUUUCUAUCCUCAGAUAAGGAGCGCUAUGUCUACAUAUGAAGAGGUCCCAAUGAAGAGCAGUGGUUUUCAGUCCUGGGGACUCAAAGAGAUACCUUGUAACUGGAGAUUCCUUCAAAACGAUUGCCUACAGUUACCGUGUAGGGCACUGCAAGGUUGGGUGACAAGGGCCAUCUGGGACUGCCUCCUGGAGGAAUUCAGGUGUGUGAAGGCUACCUGUGUCCUGCAUAACUUCAUGUGGAUGGACUCGAGGACCAGGAGGGGAUCUGCAGCUCGCCGCCGUGUCCCAGAGGAGGAGUCUGCUGCUCUGUAGGAUGUUUCAAGGAUGGGGUUCAACAAUGCAGCAAGAGAGGCAAUCCGUGUGCAGCAUAUCUUCACCUCCUACUUCUUCAAAGAGGGUGCUGUUCCCUGGCAACACCAUAGACUACACUAUGCACAACCAAAGGCUCUUUUAAGAGCCAUUCACAUUGCAAUAAGAUUAUUCUACCAUUUACUUAGCUAUAUGUCAACUGCAGUUAUUCAAUUCACAGUUUCUCUCCCUUUGAUUUCUACCUCUCGUGUGAGGGUGCUGUUUAGGUAAGGGUGUGAUGUCGGCAAAAACAAAACAGGCUAUUUUAAAUCACACAUAUUGAACAAAUGUAGAACAAUUAGACACCCUAUAACCCACACCUACACACUCAUGAAUCAAUCUGAUUGAUGGAUUGUGUUGUGCAGUAAGCAGGCUCAGGUGUAUAACUGUGGCUCCUUCCACCUUCAAAGAAUAGGCAAGAGGGCCAACCAUGGAGAAUAGUAAGACACUUCAUUAUUUAUAUAACUACGCUAUAUUGUUUGUUAUUGUGUCCAUUCAUGUUUUUCAACAUAAAGUACUCUGCAGCCACUUAGUGUGGUGUGGACACCAGGUGGGGCCACACACAGAUUCCUGUUGAACACUGUCGCUUUAACUACCUUAUUUUCUCAAUAACAUUCUCUCUCCUUCCCUUCAUCCCUCUCUCACCUUCUCCCUAAAUCCUCUAGGUUAUAUCAGCUGUUUCGGUGAACCCCUCCUGCAUCUGAACUGGCUACAUCGAGGGCACAGCAUGAUCAGAUGUGAGAGGUCACUUGGUCAGGUCAACAGGAAGUAUUAUUAAAGAGAUGCUUUACAUUGAAAUACAGAUAGAUGCAUUUGUCCCAGAGUUAAUGAUCCAAGGUCAAUUUUGCAUUUCACUUCCUGAUUGAUGACUAACAAUGUCAGAAUAAAAAAUGAAAACACAAGGCUUAAACAUGCUCUCUAUCUCCAUCUGUCUCUCGUCUGCAGAUAUGUUUUGAUGUGAGAGGAUGCCAACCCCCAGUCCCAUCAUCGCCACCUCACCUGCUGUUAAGAUAACCUUUGGGCCGACGAGAGACACUAUUAUGUAAUUGUGAUGAACUGAGAAUAUUUAGGUAGCACUGUAAUUCAUUAAUCAUGUGCUGCCUUCCCUGCUCCUAUGUGCUUACCUCUUUCCCUUUCUGUCUUUUACACCUCUCCUGCCACCUCCUCUUUCUUCCUCUGUUUUAUAAUGCACAACAGAUUGUGAUUGUGGAAGGCGAUCUUAAUGUUCUUAAUCUCAGAUUGUGCUUGUGAUUGAACUUGUAUUUAUAACACUUGGAUAAUGAGCUUUUCAAUAAAGCGUUUCACAUUCUCUA